rnacentral:rRNA from 1 species
GUGAAAAUUUAACGGCCGCAGUACCCUGACUGUGCUAAGGUAGCGUAAUCAGUUGGCUUUUAAAUGAAGUCGAGAAUGAAUGGGUCUACGGGAAUAAGCUGUCUCCUUUUGUACUCGUGAACUUAUUUAGAAGGUGAAAAUCCCUUUACGUAGAAAAAAGACGAGAAGACCCUUAGAGUUUUAAUAAAAAUCACAUGUUGUGACAUUUUUUUGCUGGGGCGGCAAGGAGCACAAUUAAACUCUCCUGUAUAGAUUUUGAGGACGAAACUUAUAAGAAUCAUUAAACUACCUUAGGGAUAACAGCAUAAUUAAUUUUUAGUUUGUGACCUCGAUGUUGGACUAGGAAUAACUUUUGGUUAGAAGCCAAAAGUACCGUUCUGUUCGAACAAU